rnacentral:rRNA from 1 species
AGGACGAACGCUGGCGGCGUGCUUAACACAUGCAAGUCGAGCGGUGAUCCUCCUUCGGGAGGUGAUCAGCGGCGAACGGGUGAGUAACACGUGGGCAACCUGCCCCUCACACUGGGAUAACCUCGGGAACCGGGGCUAAUACCGGAUACGACCUCGAGCGGCAUCUCUUGAGGUGGAAAGCUCCGACGGUGAGGGAUGGGGCCCGCGGCCUAUCAGCUUGUUGGUGGGGUAAUGGCCUACCAAGGCGACGACGGGUA